CAGUCGCCGCGGGAAUACGUAGGGUGCGAGCGUUAAUCGGAAUUACUGGGCGUAAAGCGUGCGCAGGCGGUUGUGUAAGACAGGUGUGAAAUCCCCGGGCUUAACCUGGGAACUGCGCUUGUGACUGCACAGCUAGAGUGUGUCAGAGGGGGGUAGAAUUCCACGUGUAGCAGUGAAAUGCGUAGAUAUGUGGAGGAAUACCGAUGGCGAAGGCAGCCCCCUGGGAUAACACUGACGCUCAUGCGCGAAAGCGUGGGGAGCAAACAGGAUUAGAUACCCCUGUAGUCCCUGUCUCUUAUAC
rnacentral:rRNA from 1 species